GUCCCAGCUGUAAACGAUGCAGACUCGGUGAUGCAUUGGCUUAUGGCCAGUGCAGUGCCGCAGGGAAGCCGUUAAGUUUGCCGCCUGGGAAGUACGUACGCAAGUAUGAAACUUAAAGGAAUUGGCGGGGGAGCACCACAAGGGGUGAAGCCUGCGGUUCAAUUGGAGUCAACGCCAGAAAUCUUACCCGAGGAGACAGCAGAAUGAAGGUCAAGCUGAAGACUUUACCAGACAAGCUGAGAGGUGGUGCAUGGCCGUCGC
rnacentral:rRNA from 1 species